GUGACUGCGUACCUUUUGUAUAAUGGGUCAGCGACUUAUAUUCUGUAGCAAGGUUAACCGUAUAGGGGAGCCGAAGGGAAACCGAGUCUUAACUGGGCGUUAAGUUGCAGGGUAUAGACCCGAAACCCGGUGAUCUAGCCAUGGGCAGGUUGAAGGUUGGGUAACACUAACUGGAGGACCGAACCGACUAAUGUUGAAAAAUUAGCGGAUGACCUGUGGCUGGGGGUGAAAGGCCAAUCAAACCGGGAGAUAGCUGGUUCUCCCCGAAAGCUAUUUAGGUAGCGCCUCGUGAACUCAUCUUCGGGGGUAGAGCACUGUUUCGGCUAGGGGGCCAUCCCGGCUUACCAACCCGAUGCAAACUACGAAUACCGAAGAAUGUUAUCACGGGAGACACACGGCGGGUGCUAACGUCCGUCGUGAAGAGGGAAACAACCCAGACCGCCAGCUAAGGUCCCAAAGUCAUGGUUAAGUGGGAAACGAUGUGGGAAGGCACAGACAGCCAGGAUGUUGGCUUAGAAGCAGCCAUCAUUUAAAGAAAGCGUAAUAGCUCACUGGUCGAGUCGGCCUGCGCGGAAGAUGUAACGGGGCUAAACCAUGCACCGAAGCUGCGGCAGCGACACUAUGUGUUGUUGGGUAGGGGAGCGUUCUGUAAGCCGUUGAAGGUGUGCUGUGAGGCAUGCUGGAGGUAUCAGAAGUGCGAAUGCUGACAUAAGUAACGAUAAAGCGGGUGAAAAGCCCGCUCGCCGGAAGACCAAGGGUUCCUGUCCAACGUUAAUCGGGGCAGGGUGAGUCGACCCCUAAGGCGAGGCCGAAAGGCGUAGUCGAUGGGAAACAGGUUAAUAUUCCUGUACUUGGUGUUACUGCGAAGGGGGGACGGAGAAGGCUAUGUCAGCCGGGCGACGGUUGUCCCGGUUUAAGCAUGUAGGCGGAGGUUCCAGGUAAAUCCGGUACCUUUUAACGCUGAGGUGUGAUGACGAGGCACUACGGUGCUGAAGUGAUAAAUGCCCUGCUUCCAGGAAAAGCCUCUAAGCAUCAGGUAACACGAAAUCGUACCCCAAACCGACACAGGUGGUCAGGUAGAGAAUACCAAGGCGCUUGAGAGAACUCGGGUGAAGGAACUAGGCAAAAUGGUGCCGUAACUUCGGGAGAAGGCACGCUGAUAGGUAGGUGAAGCCCCUGCGGGCGGAGCUGAAAUCAGUCGAAGAUACCAGCUGGCUGCAACUGUUUAUUAAAAACACAGCACUGUGCAAACACGAAAGUGGACGUAUACGGUGUGACGCCUGCCCGGUGCCGGAAGGUUAAUUGAUGGGG
rnacentral:rRNA from 1 species